ACACACAUACACUAAUACGGUGGAUUUGUAUACCAAGCUCCCAGUGAGACUCACACGUGGACGCAAACUGUGACCACUGACACUUUACACAAUUUCCGCUGAGCGGAGGCUAUGAGCAAAUGCAGAAUCUUUGCUCUGGUUACAUCUCCUCCACACUUUCUCAGGCAUAAGAGAAGUCAACCCUGGGGCUCUGGUUUCUUGAUGUGGGUGCAGCAGCCUCCAGGGAGGUGUCCCUAGUGCUAGGAGGACCAAACGUGUAAUGCCCAUGAUAGCGUUCACUGACUCGGAAAGCAUGUGUGUGGCCAUUAAUCUCAUUGUCAACUUGAUGCAAUCUGGAAGCACCUAGGCAUGCCUGAGGAUUUCCACGAGGGGUUAUGUCAGUGGGAAGGCACAACCUGACCGUGUGGGGCCAUUCCCUGGAUGGUACCGUGAUCCUGAUCUAGAGAAGUUGAGCAGAAAAGAAACAAAGAUGUUGACUCCUAUAGUGCACAGAGCCUGGGUUAGAUGCGCUCUCCUAACUCCUUCGCUUAGAGCAGAGGCUGAGACUUGGAGCCCUCAGGAUGUGGUCCUCUGGUCCCCCUCCUCCAGUGUGAAAACCUAUGCUGCAUCUCUCCAGGAGAAGCCUCGGCAGCUUCGGGAGGCAGCUGCUGUGGAUUCUACUGAACAACCCCACCGACUUCCACCGCCCCAGAGAAAUGCCUCAGGACCACACUGGAAGAAGCAAGUUAUAGAAAAAUGAUGAAACCGGCCACCUUGCCAAUAAUGAUCAAGAGCUUUGUUCUGACCCAGGGAGGCCACCUGUGCUGGAGAUGAAGAAGGGACGCUGUCCAGUCAGUUGAGGAGAGUUUUCAGACCCAUAAGACUGUGCAGAAAUAGCACUAUCCGAAUCUUCUUCAUGUGUUUGGGGGUGACAAGAGGACACAUGUGUUCAGGUGCCUGUCAAAGUCAGGAGAUGGUGUCAGAUCCCUUGGAGCUGUAGUUACAGGCUUUUGUGAGUUACCUGCCCUGGGUCCUGGGAACCAACCUUGGUCCUCUGGAAGAGCAUCACACACUCUUAGCCACUGCGCCAUCUCUCCAGCCCCUCUUCUGUUUGACCAACUUAAAAUGUUCUCACAAUUCUACUGCCUGGUAUUGAUUUUUGCAAGGAAUAAAAGGUCCCCAUUCUAAUCUGUGGAAGACGGAUAAUGGAGGCGGUCUGACGGGUUAGAGAUUAGAGCAGCUAAUUAGAUUAGAUGCUGUCAUGGACAACUAUGCUGUCCUCUGUCUUAUUUAAUACGUACAGAAUUCCCUAAAGGAAACACCUAGAAGCUCCGAGAGGGAAUCUGUGACUCCUGGAGGAAAUAAAAUUAUAGAGUUGCAUAAAAUGAUAACUCUGGAAAUGAGAUUGAGCCUAGGGACAUGACCCAGUGAGGCAAAUGGCCCUGUGCAAGCUGGAGAAUUGGAAUUUGAAUACUUAGACCCUACAUAGAAAGCCAUUUCAUGCUAGUGCUGUAACACAGGACAUAGAGGGAGGUGGAUCCCUGAAGCUCAUUGGCUGGCCAGCCUAGCUUACUGGAUGUGCUUCAGGUUAGGUGAUAAACCCUGUCUCAAAAGGUACAGGAGAAUGAUGAGGGAAAGACAGAUGACAUCAUUCUUGGGCCUCCAGUCAGCAUACAUCUGAACACAUGUACACACACACACACACACAUACACACACACCUACACACACACACACACACUCAAAACAAAUCUUUAAAAAGUAUUGAAAUAAGUAACCAAAACUACUUCUUAGGAGGAAAAAAAAGCAAAUGCCAAUCAUUUUAAGGUAAUUGUUUCUGGUCUACAAAAACAUUAUGCAGACCCCUUUCAAAGAAUACAUUGCCCAGGCUCUGUUUACUCCCUUUAGAAGUUAACCAUGAUGAAACAAACAGAACGUGAAAGUUACAGUCUUAACUGCUUAGAAGUAUUCAGUGCUGUUGAAUAUGUUCACAUUACAGGGCCAGUUCUUUCCAUAAGAAAUGUGCACAGAAAUGCACAGGCGCCUGUGGUGUCUGAAUGAAAAUGGCCCCAGGGACUAAUAAGGACUGUUGCUAUUUGAAAGGAUUAGGGCAUGUGGCCUUGUUGGAGGAAGUAUGUCACUGGGGGUGGGCUUUGGGGUCUCAAAUGCUUAAACUAGUUCCAGUGUCUCUUUCCUUCUUCCUUUCUUCCUUCCUUCCUUCCUUCCUUCCUUCCUUCCUUCCUUCCUUCCUUCCUUCUUCUUUUUAUUACUGUGGAUCCAGAUGUAAAGCUGUCAAGCCACUUCUCCUGCUCUAUGUCUGCCUGCAUUAAGCCAUGCUGCCCGCCAUGGUGAUAAUGGGCUAAACCUCUGCACUUUAAGUCAGCUCCAAUUAAUUUUUUCCUUUAUUAGAGUUGCCACGGUCAUGGUGCCUCUUCACAGUGAUAGGACACGGACUAAGACAACAUCUGUUCAUCCUUAUUGAUUUAAGAUUUAUUGUUGUUAUCUUUUAUAUGUAUGUAUGUGUGUUUGUGUGUAUGCAUACCUGUGUGGUGCCCUUGGAGGCCAGAAGAGGACAUCACAUCCCCUGGAGCUGGAGUAAUAAGCAGUUGUGAGCUGCCCUGUGGGUGCUGGGGACCAAACUCCAAUCAUCAGCAAGAGCAAGGUCUGCUCUUACUGCUGAGCCAUAUUGCCAGCCCUUCUUGCAUUUAUUUAUUUAUAUUUGUAUGUAUGUGUGUGUGUGUGUGUGUGUGUGUGGUGUGUGUGUGUGUGUGUGUGUGUGUAACCAUCACAGAGGACAUGUGGAGGUCAGAGGACAACUCGAAAGAGUCAUUUCUCUCCUUUCACCUUGUGAGCCCGGGGAUGGAGAACUGGGCUGUCAGGCUUUGCAGUAAGGGCCUUUAGCUGCUGAGCCAUCUUGCUGGUCCUCAAAUGAUUUAAAAAAUAUUGUCCUAUAAAUCAUCCCUGGGGUUAAAUCUUCACACACAGUAUUUUUUAAGCCUAGCUUUCUAUUUUUAUUUCCAGCUCACACCAUAGUCACCGUCCAGGAAAAGGCCGGAAGGGCUGAAAGGACUGGGAAGUCAAAGGGAAGAAAAGAGGAGAUGUAAUUUAUGAGGAUGGAGCUUUCUAGAGCUGGUCUGAGCCUGUUGUCCUGGCUGUCACCCUACUCUCAGUCUCCAAGGCCAUGUUUGCUCUCUCACAAGGCUCAGGGCAGGGCGGUUUUCAUCAUAUAGAGCAGUGGGGACACUCACUGGUGAGAGCCAGGCUUCCUUCCCGGUGCAUGUUGGCUAGAGAGGCACUCAUUAGCUAGAAUACCAUACUUACAGACACCGAUCUGAGCACUGAAGGCAAGAGAGGGCAAUGCUGAAAGGCAGCUAAACAAUUAGAAAGAUAUUCCCUGGCUGGGCAGACAGUUCACAGGUAAGAUACUUGUUCCCCAAGUCGAGGACCCAAGUUCAAAUCUCCAGAACCCACACUAGGCAGCACUUGCUGCUGGAUGUCUACAAUCCCAGAGUUCCCAUGGCAAGAUGGGAAGUGGAGACAGGAGAAUUCCCAGAAGCUGCAGAGCCAGGUAGCCUGGUGUCAUCAAUUGGUGUUACUAACCAGACGCACUGCAGACAAGCUGAGACUAGCUGGUGGCUCAUGUAUUGUAGAAAACACAAACUUCUCCACCCGCUCAGUUUAGCUGUGCUUUCCUGCUUUGGGCUAAAUGGCUGGGAUGGGCUUGGUCUUUCCUUUGCCUGGGAUCCCUUGGUCCAAUCCUCUCUAUCUCAGUCGCCAGGUUUUUGGACUUUAACAGAGAUGAAAACACAAAUAAAAUUAAAAGAUGUUAUUAGCUAAGAGCUUUUAUUAUUCAAUGAUCCAGUGAAAUUAUUUGGAAAAUGUAGUAUGUUGCCAGGGGAGACAGAUGGCUAGGGAGAGGGCUGAACCAUAAAGUACCACCAUGAGUGUGUGAGGGUCUGAGUUCAACCCUCAGAACCCACACAAAAAAGAAAAACAUAGAAACUAGCCGUGAUAUCCCAUGCUUGUAAUCUCGGGGCUGAGGAGGCAGAGACAGGAGAAUUCACGGCUCCCUGGCCAGACAGCCCAGCCUAAUGGAUGAACUCCAAGCCCAUAAGAGACCUUGAGACCUUGUCUCAAACAAACAAACACAAAACAAAAAACCCAAGGUGGGCAUCACUCAAGGAAUGAUACCUGAAGUUGACCUCUGGCCGCCACAGAUGCGCAAAUGCAUGUGUAUGCAUAUUUGCACAGGCAUGCACACACACACACACACACACACAAAUGGACUGAGCACAGAAUUUGUUUUUCACAUGAAUUAAAGUAGUUGACUAUUGUGUUUCUUAGUGUGUAGAAAAAAGGUAGUUAUUCUCUAUGGGACUUGAUUUCAGCUUUUGGUGGUCAUGUUCGAAUUGGCACUAAGGUGUCUGGCUGCUGCCUGACACAGGAACUCCAGUUAGUGAUGAGAGCCCAUCUGUAGUGAUGUGGGCAUGUCUGACAUGGAAUAGCAACUGUGCUGAAUGCAUGGGUGGAGAGUGAAUGAGUGAAUGCAGGUAUGGCCGUGGGUUUCCAGGAGACUGCGGACAGCUGUUAGAGGAAGAACUGAUAAGCAGCUGACACGAACCCAUUCAGCAAAAAUGCUUGUGUGCCAAGCACAUGUGGACACGCAGCACAAAUGAAUACAUAGUGCAUUGUCUGAGUUUAUCAGAAAGACUAACAAUCCCCGGCAAACCAGAAAAGAAUGGGGCUUCUCACUUUACCGUUGAUGGGAGCUGCUGAGUGAGUUCAUUAAAGGACAGAAUACUGUCUGGCUUCCUCUGGUGGAGGAAUACAAGGCUGGGGACUCUGGUUUAGACUGGAGCCCAGGGCUGGAUACAUACACAGAACUGAUGGGAGGCUGCAAACUCUGGAUAUAUUACUUGAGUUCCAGAGAACUGGUGUGUGUGUGUGUGUGUGUGUGUGUGUGUGUGUGUGCUGGGGUCUAGGAUAGGAGAAUAGGAACGGGGUGAGGAAGGGAUAGGGGAAUGGAGAUCUAUAGAGCCACUCAGCUAAUUCAGACACAGAACGGCACCCAUAGCCUGUGUACCCUGACUCCUAGGUAACUCGCAAGACCAGACAAGGAGACCAGUCCGUCCCGCUGCCAAAGUGCAUGUCAAAAGUAAAGACCCCAAACUGGGAGGGGAUUUCUUUGACAAAGGUUGGAAACUGAGACUGACAAGGGCUGGCGACAUGAAGAGAAACCAAUGACUGGUAGCAUGAACUUUGAAAUGGACUCUGCUAAACAUGGCCUGAAGGCUUAUACAAUAAAUUGGAAUGGGGCUGUUACUAAAAACAAAAAACAAAGAAGAAGAAAGAGGAGGAGGAGGAAGAAGACGAAGACGACG